rnacentral:rRNA from 1 species
AAUGAACGUUGGCGGCGUGGAUUAGGCAUGCAAGUCGAGCGAGAACCCCGCAAGGGGGGACCGCGGCGAAAGGGACAGUAAUGUGUAGAUUAUCUGCCCUCAGGUCCGGGAUAGCUGCGGGAAACUGCAGGUAAUACCGGAUAACAUCUCCGGAUCAAAGGUGUGAUUCCGCCUGAGGAUGAGUCUGCAUCCUAUUAGCUAGUUGGUGGGGUAAUGGCCUACCAAGGCAUUGAUGGGUAGCAGGUGUGAGAGCACGACCUGCGUCAUUGGGACUGAGACACUGCCCAGACACCUACGGGUGGCUACAGUCGAGAAUCUUCGGCAAUGGGCGCAAGCCUGACCGAGCGACGCCGCGUGUGGGAUGAAGGCCUUCGGGUUGUAAACCACUGUCAGAGGGGAUGAAAUGCAGGUGGGUUCUCCCAUCUGUUUGACAUAGCCUCAGAGGAAGGACGGGCUAAGUUCGUG